rnacentral:rRNA from 1 species
GAUGAACGCUGGCGGCGUGCUUAACACAUGCCAGUCGAGCGAGAAGUUUUGAAAAGAUUCUUCGGAUGAAAUUUAAAAUGGAAAGCGGCGGACGGGUGAGUAACGCGUAGGCAACCUGCCCCAUACAAAGGGAUAGCAUUUGGAAACGAAUAUUAAUACCUUAUGAAACUUAACUAGUGCAUGCUAGGUAGGUCAAAGAUUUAUCGGUAUGGGAUGGGCCUGCGUCUGAUUAGCUAGUUGGUGAGGUAACGGCUCACCAAGGCGACGAUCAGUAGCCGACCUGAGAGGGUGAACGACCACAUUGGAACGGAGACACGGUCCAAACUCCUACGGGAGGCAGCAGUGGGGAAUAUUGCACAAUGGGGGAAACCCUGAUGCAGCAACGCCGCGUGAACGAUGAAGGCCUUUGGGUCGUAAAGUUCUGUUCUAGGUGAUGAAAACUGACAGUAACCUAGGAGAAAGCCCCGGCUAACUCCGUG